rnacentral:lncRNA from 1 species
UUCUUAGAAUCCUAUGACAAUAUAUGAUCUAGAGUUAGAAUUUUAAACCUAGAAGUUCAAUAGAAGUAGUGUAGGAUAUCCGAGUUUAGUAGAUUAUGUAUUCAUGGAGCUAGUUGUAUGUAAGGUGAACUAGUAGUCUUGGAAUAGUUUAUGGAAGAAUUUAAGUUUAUUGAUUCAAAAUUAAGUAUGAUGAUGUGAGUAAUAAUUAGAGGUGUGCCCAAGGUGAUACGGAUUGUGUUAUUUCUAAGUUUUUACAAUGUGUGUGCUUAGAUAUUACCCUUGAGUUGUUAAGUGCGAAUGAGGCUAUAUAGUAUAUGAUGUUUGUACUAGCUAAGUUAUGGGUUAUAGGUUAAUGAUGUUAGGUAUGUUGGUGUAAUGGUAAUUCUCAUGGUUUAGGAAAAAUAUAAGUUUAGAGAUGUGAUAUUAGUAGGCUAUGAAGGAAAAGAGUCAAAUUAUGUGUUUAUUAAGGCAAGUAUAUUUUCAAGAAGGGUGUAAGUAUGUGAUGAUUGCUGAAGCUAAGGAAAGUCAAGGAUAGUAUAUAUUAAGGGAAUGUUCAAGAAUGAAGUU